rnacentral:tRNA from 1 species
GACUUAAAAAAUCCGUCGACUUUGAAAGUCGUGAGG